UACGUAGGGAGCAAGCGUUGUCCGGAAUUACUGGGUGUAAAGGGAGCGUAGGCGGAAUGGAAAGUUGAAUGUGAAAUUUAUCGGCUCAACCGGUAGCUGCGUUCAAAACUUCUGUUCUUGAGUGAAGUAGAGGCAGGCGGAAUUCCUAGUGUAGCGGUGAAAUGCGUAGAUAUUAGGAGGAACACCAGUGGCGAAGGCGGCCUGCUGGGCUUUAACUGACGCUGAGGCUCGAAAGCGUGGGGAGCAAACAGGAUUAGAUACCC
rnacentral:rRNA from 1 species